UACGUAGGGUGCAAGCGUUAAUCGGAAUUACUGGGCGUAAAGCGUGCGCAGGCGGUUUUGUAAGUCUGUCGUGAAAGCCCCGGGCUCAACCUGGGAAUUGCGAUGGAGACUGCAAGGCUUGAAUCUGGCAGAGGGGGGUAGAAUUCCGACGUGUAGCAGUGAAAUGCGUAGAGAUGUGGAGGAACACCGAUGGCGAAGGCAGCCCCCUGGGUCAAGAUUGACGCUUAUGCACGAAAGCGUGGGGAGCAAACAGG
rnacentral:rRNA from 1 species